GCUAUAGCUCCAUGGUAGAGCAUCAGCUUUGCAUGCAGAAGGUCUGAGGUUCAAUCCCCAGCAUCUCCA